AUGUGCUCUCGUUUGACAAUACUCAAGAUCAGAUUUUCUUGCCAACUGCCGGCACAAACCGGUUGCUUCUCAGGUUGCAUAUGCGAUCAGCCACCAAACUGGAAAACCGAAGAACUCGGGCUGAUCUGGCUCGAAGAAGUACAGAUCUUGAGCUUUGCAGGAACUGAACAUGAAGUCGCUUUUCUGAAACGGCUAUUCAGCUGGGCAACAUCGCUGAAAAGGAUGAUGGUAACAUUCCACGACUCCAUCACUGAGAGCAAGGGAAGAGAGCUACAGCAGCUGUUACUAAGCUUCUCCAGACCAGAAAUAUGUAUAUGCAUAUUACCAUGUAGUGCUCCAUCUUGA
rnacentral:rRNA from 1 species